rnacentral:rRNA from 1 species
GUAGGUGGCAAGCGUUGUCCGGAAUUAUUGGGCGUAAAGCGCGCGCAGGCGGUUCUUUAAGUCUGAUGUGAAAGCCCACGGCUCAACCGUGGAGGGUCAUUGGAAACUGGAGAGCUUGAGUACAGAAGAGGAAAGCGGAAUUCCACGUGUAGCGGUGAAAUGCGUAGAGAUGUGGAGGAACACCAGUGGCGAAGGCGGCUUUCUGGUCUGUAACUGACGCUGAGGCGCGAAAGCGUGGGGAGCAAACAGGAUUAGAUACCCUGGUAGUCCACGCCGUAAACGAUGAGUGCUAAGUGUUAGGGGGUUUCCGCCCCCCUUAGUGCUGCAGCUAACGCAUUAAGCACUCCGCCCUGGGAGUACGGCCGCAAGGCUG